rnacentral:rRNA from 1 species
UACAGAGGUCUCAAGCGUUGUUCGGAUUCAUUGGGCGUAAAGGGUGCGUAGGUGGUGCUGUAAGUCAGGUGUGAAAUCUCGGGGCUCAACCCCGAAACUGCACUUGAUACUGCGGUGCUCGAGGACUGGAGAGGAGAUCGGAAUUCAUGGUGUAGCAGUGAAAUGCGUAGAUAUCAUGAGGAAGACCAGUGGCGAAGGCGGAUCUCUGGACAGUUCCUGACACUGAGGCACGAAGGUCAGGGGAGCAAACGGG